UUGUCUUCGGCAGCAUAUAUACUAAAAUUGGAAUGAUACAGAGAAGAUUAGCAUGGCCCCUGUGCAAGGAUGAUUUGCAAAUUCGUGAAGCAUUCCAUUUUGGG
ensembl:snRNA U6 U6 spliceosomal RNA